GGGACUGUUAAGGUCUAGCAAAUGGUUCACUGCACCGACAUAGAGACGAUAAGCAACUCGACUAGCAUGGGAACUGGAGGAGGCUUGCCUUUGGACCAGUCACCAGAAUACAGAUUGCUCCUCCACAAGGUACAAAUGUGUCAUGAGCACCCGGUUACUUCCCUUUUCUUAACUACUGACUUGAAGCAGUUACUGAGCGGUGAUUCCGGUGGCCAUUUGCUGUCGUGGACAUUACCACCCUGAAAAUCUUCUUACAAUCAGAAACACUGAUUCUUUUGUUCAUGAUACCAUGAAAAGCCAAAGCAAGACAACAGGGCAGCUGGGAUAAUUUGUAGAAGAUAUAAGGCACUCCAUUGUGAACUUGGAAUGACAGGCUACGGCUUUCUCGUAUG